GAAAUGCGAUAAGUAAUGUGAAUUGCAGAAUUCAGUGAAUCAUCGAAUCUUUGAACGCACAUUGCGCCCGCCAGUAUUCUGGCGGGCAUGCCUGUUCGAGCGUCAUUUCAACCAUCAAGCCCCCGGCUUGUGUUGGGGACCUGCGGCUGCCCGCAGGCCCUGAAAAACAGUGGCGGGCUCGCUGUCACACCGAGCGUAGUAGCAUACAUUCUCGCUCAGGGCGUGCUGCGGGUUCCGGCCGUUAAACGACCUUCAUAACCCAAGGUUGACCUCGGAUCAGGUAGGACGACCCGCUGAACUUAAGC
rnacentral:misc_RNA from 1 species